rnacentral:tRNA from 1 species
GCAGCUCAGCGGUAGAGUGUGCGCUUCGCAUGCGUGAGGCCCUGGGUUCGAUCCCCAGUGCC